UUCCCUGACCUCGGGGUGUAUAUUUAGGUUGUGAAGGUUUGGGCCCGAUCCGAUAACUUGUCAUCGCAUACGUUUUUCUCCACCAGUACUGGUAGACUCCAAGAUUCCUUAGCUACAAAAUAAACUGUAUACCACUGAGUUAAUGUUUUUGUCUGAAUUCGUCAUCAAAUAUUACUCACGCCAGUCUGUUUCUCCCACAGGAGGGUCAAGUGGAUACGAUAAGAAAGGAGGCUACGGUAAUUAUAUUAUAGUUUAAUAUAUUCUUCACUUAAUCCACAAAGCAAUGAUGGACAGGUGACAGUGAAUGUUAGAAUACCGCAGAAGGCUAAAGGACCAGGGUUAAUGUUCCAUGUCGACAACCUGCGGGUGGUGACCCCGUCAGUGAGAGGAGCAGAAUUCCCUCACGGUUGGCUUUACAAGGAGGGAAAAGGCAGUGAAUGAAGCAGGAAUCCCAGGGAUCAACACGGCUGAUGUUGUUGUGAUGAGUUGAGUUUAGGGCAGUUGAGUUGAGUUUAGGUUAGGUUGAACAUAACUGAACACAAUACACCCAAACCAAAUUGCUGUAAGGUUACAUCCCGCCUUCCCUGACUUUGGGGUGUAUUUUUAAGUUGUGAAGAUUUGGGCAUGAUCCAAUCAAUUGUCAUCAAAAUCUUUCUUUCCCCACAGCUACUGGUAGACUCCAAGAUUCCUUAGCUAUGAAAUAAACUGUAUACGACUGAGUUAAAAUGUCAAUUUCUGAAUUCUUGUCAUGCAAUAUUAUUCACGCUUGUCUGUUUCCCCCACAGGAGGGUCAAGUGGAUCUGAUAAGAACGAAGGCUAUGGAGGGUCAAGUGGAUACGAUAACGGAGGCUACGGAGGGUCAAGUGGAUACGAUAACGGAGGCUACGGAGGGUCAAGUGGAUACAAUAAGAACAGAGGCUCUGGUAAAUAUAAUGUAGUUUAAUAUGUUCUUCAUUUAAUCCACAAAACAAUGAUGGACAGGUGACAGUCAAUGUUAGAAUACCGCAGAAGGCUAAAGGACCAGGGUUAAUGUUCCAUGUCGACAACAUGCCGGUGGUGACCCCGUCAAUGAUAGGAGCAGAAAUCCCUCACAGUUGGCUUUACAAGGAGGGAAAAGGUAAUGAAUGAAGCUGGAAUCAACACGGCCGAUGUUGUCGAAUUGAGUUCAGUGCAGUUAAGUUGGAUUUAGAUGAGUCGUGCAGUUGAGAUGAGUUGAGGUUGGUCUAAUUGAGUUGAAUAUAAUACAAUUGAGUUCAUGCAGUUGAGUUAAGUAGGUUGGUGCAGUUGUGUUUCGUGCAGUCGUCUUGAGUUUAGUGCUGUUGAGUUGAUGUUAAUGCUGUUGAGUUGAAAGGUUCAAAGGUUAUUUAUAGGUCACAUACACCAUAGGUGUAGUGAAAUGCUUGUUGCCAAUGCAGCACAUAAAGAAAAAAACAGACAUAACAAUAAUAAAGAGAUUUAAACAUAAAAAACAUCUCUCUACAAUGGUUCCCAUUAUGAGGGAAGGCACAAUAUUCAGUCCCCAUCCCAUUCCCACCCA